UCCGAAUGGUAUAACUAUGUGAAUAUUAUUGAUGAUAUGCUGGCCACUUCAUUGUUAACUAGUGCACGAUUUUCGCUGACUAUGAUUUGCGGUGCUUUACAUAGGAAACAGAUAUUGCCGCCUCUCCAAUUAUUGUCAUGGAGUCCAAUAUCAAGGCUCGAAAAAUUGAAUUGAUACCUAGCAUGGAUUCUGUGGCUGAAUUGAUUACAGGAAUACCAUAUCGAAUGCGCUGCAUACUUCAACAAUUUCCACGAAUCGGCAGCAAAAUGAAAUUACCGAGGGAACAACAAUCAGACUUAUUUUCGAAAAUUUUUCUAGACGAUUCUGAAUGCAUUGAAUUAAUUGAUAAUUUAAAGAUUGAAGUUAAUCAUCAACGAAAUGAAAUAGAUCGAUAUAUAUCAUUUUGGAAUGGACAUCGAGCUUUGUGGGAAACAACUGAUAUUUCAUUUAUUAAAAGAGUAAAAUCAACAGAACUUACAGCUGAAGUUUUCGAGCUUUUCAUUAAAUAUUAUAGUACAUUAGCUGAUGAUAUUUCUUUUAUUGAUGCUAUUUCUCAUGUAUAUUUCAUACUCAUGAAUCAAAAUUAUAUUAAAAAUGCUCUCCUGACUUUAUAGAAAAGUGGCAAACUUUAAAUAUCAAAAUCCUUCUAAGUCAUUCAUUUUACUUAAUACGAGGUAUUUAUCGAUAUAUGCGGCGCAAUGGACAAAAAAUAAUGAUGAUUCCGCGAACACUUAAAGAAUCUUUAGCAGCUAAAGAGUAUGUUGAAAGGUUAAUUGAAGAAGUUCCCUUGAAACAAUCUACUUUUCCCAGCAUACUGGAGCUUUUUUACUUUUAGAAAAGUAUCAAGUUGAAAUACCAGAGAAAAUUCAUCAACAAGUUGAUGGGCUUCACUCAGCAUGGCAGGAGUAUUUAAGAAAGUUAGGUGAAGCCCACGAAAUGCUUGAUAAUAACCGUGAUGAGUUUCAAAAAAUACUAUUACAUCAAGCUGAAAAAUUUAAAAUUAUCCUCAAAGAAUUUUUAGAAGACUUUUACAUAAAACUUCCUACCGGAGCAAAUAUAAAUCCAAAAACUGCUUUGAAGUUUUUAAAAAUUAUAUUUCUUAAAGUUGAAGACUGUUUUAAAUUUGAAGAAAGUUUGAAGAGCGAUUUAUCCGUUUUCAAUGUAAAUCAACCAGAAAGUUUUGAUCUCCGAAAACUUGACAGGGAGGUUAAAGUUAUACAGAAUAUAUGGAGUCUCAUUUAUGACUGGCAAUUGAGCUGGGAUGAAUGGCGUAAGGCUAUUUUUGGAAAAUUAAUAUUGAUGAAAUGGAGGAUAAAGCGUUAAGCUUAUAUAAAGAAUUCAGUACACUAAGCAAAAUGUAUUAUGAUCACCAUUGGGAUAUGCUAGAAGUAACAACUAGGAAUAUUGAUAGUUUUCGAAGAACUCUGCCUUUAAUUACCUCAUUAAAAAUCCCAAUAUGCGCGAACGUCAUUGGAAAAGAGUUCGUGAUAUAAUGCAAGUGUACGUAAAAAUUAUAAAAAUUUUUGACAAUUUUUAACUACUCUCCACAUCUUUAAAAAGAUUAGUAUCUUUUUUUUUUUGGUUGUUGCCUCUUGUAUACCAUUUUUAUUAUAUUUUGGAGUUAAAUUUUUAAU